CCUCUAGUCUGUUGUAGCUGAAUGAUUUGGAAGUGUUCUUUCACUUUUUACUUUUGUCCUCAGCAUUACCUACAUGAACUUGUUAUCAAAACACUUGUCCAGCACAACCUCUUUUAUAUGCUGCAUCAGUUCCUGCAGUACCACGUCCUCAGCGACUCCAAACCUUUGGCUUGUCUGCUGUUAUCCCUAGAGAGCUUCUAUCCUCCUGCUCAUCAGCUAUCUCUGGACAUGCUGAAGCGACUUUCAACAGCAAACGAUGAAAUAGUAGAAGUUCUCCUUUCCAAACACCAAGUGUUAGCUGCCUUAAGGUUUAUCCGGGGCAUUGGUGGCCAUGACAACAUUUCUGCACGAAAAUUUUUAGAUGCUGCAAAGCAGACUGAAGACAAC
rnacentral:sRNA from 1 species